ensembl:lincRNA 1700047M11Rik RIKEN cDNA 1700047M11 gene
AGUAGGACUUCAGCACCACCCAGUGACAGCAGAGCCACAGAGGGCCUGCUGGGAGGAGUUAGCGCAGGGAGAGGAUGGGAGAAACCCCUGGUUUCUUCUCGCUCCCCUUUCUUUCCCAUUAACCAAACACAGACUGAAUCCAGCUGAGGGGGGACCAUGAAAAACUUCACGGAAGGCCUGCCUUUCUGCAGCACAGGGCAGGAAAAUCCAGAGGAACAGAUCUGAGAACCAGCAGCCACGGGAUCUCUCUACACAAGACUGGCUGUGCUGCAAAUCAUUAUGUGGACCAGCCUGACCUUGAACUUGCGGAGUUGCCUUCUGUCUGCCUCUCCUUCCUGAGUGCUGGGAUGAAAGAAAUGAAGUCAAACAGGAGCCUUACUCUAAGGAGUACAUGAUCUCCGCCUCCACGCAUGAAGACACGGAAGGGCAAGUGGAAUCUAUGCGGCACAGAGAGGAGGUGAGCGGUUAUCCGAGGAUGAGGUAGGUCUGGGGAUCAGUGAGGGUGUGGUGGGAAUUAUGGGACGUUUUAUAGAAACAGAACAAAAAAAAGUCACAAGUCAAGAUGCAUUUUGAAUAUGUUGGUGGGUACAUUGGAUAGGAUGUGUGUAUGGCAACAAAAUGGGGACCCUCUGCCAGAGGCCUGUGUUGCUAGCUGAUGACUUUCUUAGCCUUUGGGUUGGUGGAAGCUGGGGAUCUGAUUUUACUUUCCAAAAGAAUCUACCUACCAGUUGCGGGGGAGUUAGAUCAUAAACAGAGGUAGGCAAUAAAUAGCUCUUAGGGCCUAAUUACAGCCCAAGAUAAACUGUGAUUUGGCUCCUAAUUGAAGUUAGACUUGAAACACUUUACCUCUUCACAGUCAUUGACAUUCGAAUCUGCUAAUCAGCCUUUAAAGAGGGUUCAAUAGUGGGUACAGUUUUGUUUUGGAAACUUUUGUUGACAAUACAUAAAAGGACAUUCUCAUUUUACAGCUGCCUAAUCUCUUGUCACAAGGACAGACCACAGUUUAUAUAGCCAGUUCCCUACUGAUGGACAAUGUGAUCUUUUUAAAAACAGUUUCUUUAGUCUCAAUAUUUGUUUUUAGAUUUAUUUAUUGAGUUAUUUAUUUAGUUAUCUUAUGUGUAUUAAUGCUUUGCCUGCUCCGUAUGCAUGACUGCUACCCUCAGAGGCCAGAAGAGGCAUCAGGUCACCGGAGACUGCAGCUGUGGAUGGUUACGAGCCAUCAGAGGGGGACUGGGAAUUUAACCUGGAUCCUCUGGAAAAGCGGUGCAUACUCUUGGCCAUUGAGCCAUCUCUUUAGCCCCUGAUGGUAGAAAUUUUAAUGGAAAUUAAUUUUUAUGACAUUGAAGGUGAUGGAAUGCUUUCUUAUUUGGUUGCCUAGUAAAUGUUUUCACUGGCCUAUGGUUAAUUUUUGUCCUAACAGUAUCCCAAGCUGGCCUUGAACUCAGUAUCUCAGGCUGGCCUUGAACUCACCGUUCAAGACACUAUAGGGCAUUUUCUUAUUCAGUGAUUGAUGUGGGAGGGUCCAGCCCACCAUGGCGGCUCAUCCCUGGGCUUGUGUCCUGAUUCUAUAAUAAAGCAGCCAUCAGAAGCAGAGGAAGCAGCACUCUUCCUUCGAUGGCCUCUGCACCAGCUCCUGCCUCUCAAUUGCUGCCUGUUUGAGCUCCUGUCCUGAUUUCCCUCAGUGAUGAACUAGGAUGUGGAAGCAUGAGUCACCAAAACCCUUUCCUCCCCAAUUUGCAUUCGCUCAAGGUGUUUCUUCACAGCAACCCCCACUCAGUCAGCCAAAAAACAUAUCCUUCACUACUGCUCUUAGCUAGUGUUCACCUGGAGAUCUUGUUCCAAUGAAGAUUCCCACCCAGAAUGUGGUCUGAGAUUCUAGGUUUUGGAGCUGUUCCUCAGUAGCUCAAGGCGGCUGGUGUGCCACCAUGACUUGCUGUUGAUUUGCAUGCUUUUUCCUUUUUCUUCUUCUCAAAGAAGGAAACCUCCACAUGACUCACCGAGCUGCUUUGUGCAAGCAGAUGUCAGUUGUCACUGUCCCUGAUGAGAACAACGUGUUAGAACACUAAAAAAAGUAAAGUGGGUAAACCAGUUUAUUAACCUACUGAGUUAGUCAUCUCGGGUGAUUACUUUUUCCUCUGUCCUUGACUCAAAAUUGGUGAAAGUAAUUUGCUUAGGAAGCUCAGAAUGUCUGUCAGAUGGUAAUGUCAGGAGUCUCCCGUGAAAGUGACACAGAGGCUCAGGACCUUAACCACAGUUUUUUCUCUUUUUCUUGAAGAUGUCUCCAGGUCUUGGCAUAAAUGAAGACUCUUCCCAUGGCCUGAACAUCUUUCUUCCAUCCUUCAAAGCCAUUGCUACACGGCAGCUCCCGGAUCAACGUGUUCCUCAUGGGAGUGAAUAAACAUCUCUGAGUCAGGAGGAGUGGAAAAAAUUCGCCCAAGAUUUACCCACAAAUUGGCUCUGAGAAAGCACCCCAGAACACUCCCAAAGCAUUUGUGCCAGGUUCCCUGGGCUGCUGGGUUUACUUGAGAAAUCAUAAAAUGACUUUUGUGUGUUUAUUCUUUGACAAUUUUAUACACAAAUGCAAUGCACCCCGGUCAAACUGUUGUCUUUUAAAUAUUUAUUUAUUUAUUU